UAUGUAGCUCAGGCUGGCCUUGAACUGGCAACUCUCCUGCCUCAGUCUCCCUAGUGCUAGUAUUAUGGGCGUGUAUGGCUGGGCAUCAGUGAACUAGCUCUUUUCUUCCAUGUAAUCCUCAGUAUCCUCUCUAGGUACCAAAGUCAAAGAAAGCUUCCCUUCAGUCCUCCCUGUGGGAGCUGUGGUGGAGCACAGAGUCCUGGAGAAAGAAGUAGGAGGAAGACCCCGAGAGGAGGGGAGGCUCUCCAAUGGUCGUGGGUGGCUCUUUUCCCACGGCAGCUCACAGCCGUUCUCUCAAAUCCUGCAGCCCCAAGUGUGAUUCUUAAACCUCCAAUGCAGUCGUUCUUGAUGGUUCGGAACUCCACUCAGUCCAAGAUGUUCUGGACGGACCAUGUCACACAGCCGUGUACACAGAAAGGCCUGUCGGUACUCCAUCACUUAGUGUCCUGGAGGCACUGUGAGGAAUGGCCCUCCAGCUUCCCCUGCCUCUAACCCCCACCCUGCCCUAAACCUCAUCACUGUUGGAUGAUGAAAAACAAAGGUAUCUAUACUUAUACAGCAUAGGCCUGCCUUAGAUGGCUCUUUGAGUGGGGCUUCAGCUGUGAUCAUUGGGAAUUCAUUCGGGGAGGGUGCCUCUCAGAUCCCUUAGCAAUGGGGCCUGCUUCUGGCUAGCCCAUGUCUGUGUGUCCUGUAUCACGAUCUGGAUUCUUUCUCCUGUACCAUUAUCAACUGAGAAUAAGUCUCUUUCUCCUCUAUAGUCACCACCUGAUUCUUUUUGCCUAGUGAUGCAGGAUCCCACUCCCCAGCCCGCUUCCUGGAUCUCCAUGGAGAAGAAGCAGAGCAGGAGAAUGAACUCAGGAGACUUGGGCUUGAUUCCAGUUUGACUCUUUUUGGUAGUGUGACCUUGGGGAGAAGUGUUCCAAGGUCUACAACUUAGUCUGAAAUGUGCCAAAAAGAAGAUGGGGGCUGGAGAGAUGGCUCAGCGGUUAAGAGCACUGACUGUUCUUCCAGAGGUCCUGAGUUCAAUUCCCGGCAACCACAUGGUGGCUCACAACCAUCUGUAAUGAGA